UCGAUUAGUUUGAUCAUGGCUCAGGACGAACGCUGGCGGCGUGCCUAACACAUGCAAGUCGAGCGGAAAGGCUCCUUCGGGAGUACUCGAGCGGCGAACGGGUGAGUAACACGUGGGUAAUCUGCCCAGGACACAGGAAUAACCAGUGGAAACGCUGGCUAAUGCCUGAUGAAGUGCCGGCCUUGCGGGGCUCGGUACCAAAGGUAGCUUCGGCCUCCGGUCUUGGAUGAGCCCGCGGCCCAUUAGCUUGUUGGCGGGGUAACGGCCCACCAAGGCGACGAUGGGUAGCUGGUCUGAGAGGAUGAUCAGCCACACUGGGACUGAGACACGGCCCAGACUCCUACGGGAGGCAGCAGUGGGGAAUCUUGCGCAAUGGGCGAAAGCCUGACGCAGCAACGCCGCGUGCGGGAAGAAGGCCUUCGGGUUGUAAACCGCUUUCAGCGGGGAAGAAGGCGAGCGGGUUAAUAGCCCGUCAGCUGACGGUACCCGCAGAAGAAGGUCCGGCUAACUACGUGCCAGCAGCCGCGGUAAUACGUAGGGACCGAGCGUUGUCCGGAAUCAUUGGGCGUAAAGAGCGUGUAGGCGGCCACUUAAGUCCUGCGUGAAAUCCUGCGGCUCAACCGCAGGCGGUCGUGGGAAACUGGGUGGCUAGAGUGCGGGAGAGGAGAGUGGAAUUCCUGGUGUAGCGGUGGAAUGCGCAGAUAUCAGGAAGAAC
rnacentral:rRNA from 1 species